UACAGAGGUCUCAAGCGUUGUUCGGAUUCAUUGGGCGUAAAGGGUGCGUAGGCGGCGUGUUAAGUCGGGUGUGAAAUCUCGGAGCUUAACUCCGAAACUGCAUUCGAUACUGCCGUGCUUGAGGACUGGAGAGGAGACUGGAAUUUACGGUGUAGCGGUGAAAUGCGUAGAUAUCGUAAGGAAGACCAGUGGCGAAGGCGGGUCUCUGGACAGUUCCUGACGCUGAGGCACGAAGGCCAGGGGAGCAAACGGG
rnacentral:rRNA from 1 species